GAUCAUGGCCCAGGAUGAACGCUAGCUACAGGCUUAACACAUGCAAGUCGGGGGGGCAGCAUGGUCUUAGCUUGCUAAGGCUGAUGGCGACCGGCGCACGGGUGAGUAACACGUAUCCAACCUGCCGUCUACUCUUGGCCAGCCUUCUGAAAGGAAGAUUAAUCCAGGAUGGCAUCAUGAGUUCACAUGUCCGCAUGAUUAAAGGUAUUUUCCGGUAGACGAUGGGGA
rnacentral:rRNA from 1 species